rnacentral:lncRNA from 1 species
AUGGUGAGAGGCUCACAAGCCCUUAUUCAUUAUAUUAUCUUCUUUCCUUGUUGCAAGUCAAUAGGUGAUUAAAAGAUCGAGAAAGUCGAGAAGGUCGAGAAGGCUGAGAAGACUAAGAGGCUGAGAAAGCUGAGAAAGUCAAGAAAGCUGAAAAAGCUAAAUAAGUCUAGUUCAUUGAAAGCCGAACUAGGCUCCAAACAAGUCUAGUUCAUCAGAAAGCCGAAUAAGUCUAGUUCAUCAG